rnacentral:lncRNA from 1 species
UCAUGCCAAAAUCGAGAAGGUGGAUACCGUCAUAGCUCGUAAUUCAAGCAGCCGCCGCCGUAUCUCUGUUUUCCGAUGCACGUAGUCCAAUAGGAAAAUCUCAGUGUUGUUCCAUCGGUGGGUUACUUUUCCCGAGAAAAGUCGUUCUGUUGUUUUCCCCUAAUCUAUAGAUGCUAAUAGAUAUCAAAGUUUCCAACUUUCUGUUCAGCUUUGAUAAUUUAGCUGAUAAUAUCUAUGUUGAUUUAAAAGGUUAUUGCUUUGCAUUUAGCUUUAUGCUGUAAUCCUGUGAAUUUAAUCAAGAAGCUUACAUCUCGAAUUCAUAUUCAGACAGUGAAAAUAUUGGUAGAUUCAAUAUUUGUAUACCUUGUUGUUUUUUUUUGAAACACUUUGUAUACCUUGUUAUCUUCUAGUUAUUUAUAUGAUUUGUGUUAAACUCCUUGAAUUUCAGAAUAAUUUUUGUUUGCGUUUCAACGAAAACUGGCCAAAGCUUUUAAUCUGAAAAUCGUUAAUUAGCUCCUCCUAGCAAGGUAUGUCAUGUUUCAAAGUGUUCCUCUUUGACUUUACCUAAACUUAUGUCUCCA